rnacentral:rRNA from 2 species
CACAUCCAAGGAAGGCAGCAGGCACGCAAAUUACCCAAUCCCAGCUCUGGGAGGUAGUGACGAAAAAUAACAAUGCGGGACUCUUCCGAGUCUGCGUAAUUGGAAUGAGCACACUUUAAAUCCUUUAGCAACAACCAAUUGGAGGGCAAGUCUGGUGCCAGCAGCCGCGGUAAUUCCAGCUCCAAUAGCGUAUAUUAAAGUUGUUGCGGUUAAAAAGCUCGUAGUUCGAUUUGAGUUGCGGACUGGUGUGGGAGGUCACCGCCCGGUGCUUGCCCGCCAGGUUCCGAACAGCUUCCGUGAGUGGAAGCCAAGCCGGUUCUGCCGGGGUGCUCUUUACCGAGUGUCCCGCGCGGCCGGCCAGUUCACCUUGAAUAAAUGAGAGUGCUCAAAGCAGGCUACUCUGGAAUACAAUGCCCGAAUGUUAGCUGCAUGGAAUGAUGGAAGAUGAUCUCGGUUGCAUUUUGUUGGUGGUGGCAGCCAGAGGUAAUGAUAAAGAGGGACUGUCGGGGGCAUCCGUACUACGACGCGAGAGGUGAAAUUCAGUGACCGUCGUAGGACGAACAACAGCGAAAGCAUUUGCCAAGAAUGUCUUCGUUGAUCAAGAACGAAAGUUAGAGGAUCGAAGGCGAUCAGAUACCGCCCUAGUUCUAACCCUAAACGAUGCUGACUAGCAAUUCGCCGUCGUUAUUCCCAUGACGUGGCGAGACGCCCCCGGGAAACCUCAAGUCUUUGAGUUCCGGGGGUAGUAUGGUUGCAAAAGUGAAACUUAAAGGAAUUGACGGAAGGGCACCACCAGGAGUGGAGCCUGCGGCUUAAUUUGACUCAACACGGGGAAGCUCACCAGGCCCGGACACCAGAAGGAUUGACAGAUUAAGAGCUCUUUCUCGAUUUGGUGGGUGGUGGUGCAUGGCCGUUCUUAGUUGGUGGAGUGAUUUGUCUGGUUAAUU